CCUACGGGAGGCAGCAGUGAGGAAUAUUGGUCAAUGGUCGGGAGACUGAACCAGCCAAGCCGCGUGAGGGAUGAAGGUACAGAGUAUCGUAAACCUCUUUUGUCAGGGAACAAAGGCGGGGACGUGUCCGCGGAUGAGUGUACCUGAAGAAAAAGCAUCGGCUAACUCCGUGCCAGCAGCCGCGGUAAUACGGGGGAUGCGAGCGUUAUCCGGUUUUAUGGGGGUAAAGGGGUGGGCAGGGGGUUUGUUAAGUCAGCGGUAAAAGCACGGGGUUAAACCCAGGCCCGCCGUUGAAACUGGCAGUCUCGAGUUGGAGAGAGGUAUGCGGAAUGCGCGGUGUAGCGGUGAAAUGCAUAGAUAUCGCGCAGAACUCCGAUUGCGAAGGCAGCAUGCCGGCUCCACACUGACGCUGAGGCACGAAAGCGUGGGUAUCGAACAGGAUUAGAUACCCCUGUAGUC
rnacentral:rRNA from 1 species